rnacentral:lncRNA from 1 species
UCCGUGCAUGCUCCAUUUACUCAAUAUUCCAUUUAGUCCAUUUAAGGGUUGGAUGUAAGACAUGUGGCAAAAAAAAAUCAAUGAUGGAGAUUUAAAAUUAAAAAAAUAAGUAGUUGAUUAUUUAAAAUAAAUAACAAAUGCUAUAUUGCCAAAAAAAAAAAAAUUAACAAAUGCUAUUUUCUCUUUCUUCAAUCACGUUUGUAUUCCCUUUUACUGUAAUAUCAUAUCUUCUCCUCCAAUGGCAGCCACAACCACUAAACCACCGCCCUUUGCCGCCGGAAUUGAUUUCAAGCUGAUUAAAAUAAUUUCGAUUCAUCCGCUACUUAUUGAAAUUAAAUUCUUUAUCACACUUCUGAAUUGACAUAUGACAAAAGGGUUUGGACGGCACCGACAAACGAUGAUAUGAUUUGUGAUGGAGGCGGCGAUGAUAGGAAGAAGGGAGAGUGAUGAUGUUGUGAUUAUUGAUGCAGAGAGUGGUGACGGUGGGGGGCAGUGAGAAGAAAGGGAUAUGAGAUCGUUGCAUAAAGCUGAAGAAUGGGGAAGAUGGAACGUGAUUAAGGGAAAAGCUAUAUUCUUUUAUUUUAUUUU